GACGAACGCUGGCGGCGUGCUUAACACAUGCCAGUCGAACGGAAAGGCCUGCUUUCCCUUGUGGAUUGCGGGUACUCGAGUGGCGAACGGGUGAGUAACACGUGAGUGAUCUGCCCCCAACUUGGGUAUAAGCCUGGGAAACUGGGUCUAAUUCCCGAUAGGACUGCAGGGUGGUGCCUGUGGUGGAAAACGAUUUUCUAGUGGUUGGGGGUGAGCUCGCGGCCUAUCAGCUUGUUGGUGGGGUAAUGGCCUACCAAGGCGGCGACGGGUAGCCGGCCUGAGAGGGUGGACGGCCACAUUGGGACUGAGAUACGGCCCAGACUCCUACGGGAGGCAGCAGUGGGGAAUAUUGCACAAUGGGCGGAAGCCUGAUGCAGCGACGCCGCGUGGGGGAUGACGGCCUUCGGGUUGUAAACUCCUUUCGACCGCGAGGAAGCCACCUGGUUGGAAGGGUGGUGACGGUAGUGGUAGAAGAAGCACCGGCUAACUACGUG
rnacentral:rRNA from 1 species